rnacentral:rRNA from 1 species
CGGUAAUUCCAGCUCCAGUAGCGUAUAUUAAAGUUGUUGCAGUUGAAACGCUCGUAGUCUGAAAUUAAUCCUUUCAUAGGAAGUACUGUUCACCCUAAUUACUCUGGUCGUUAGGUAGUGACGGUCAUUCACCUUGAUGAAUCUAGAGUGUUCAAGGCAGGCACAGCCUGAAUACUGCUGCAUGGAAUGAGAUUGAUAUUAUAUCUCUCUCGGUCGGAGAGAUCAAAGUAUCUUAAGGAACAGUCGAGGGCAUUCGUACUUGACCGUCAGAGGUGAAAUUCUAGGAUUGGUCAAUGACGAACAAAAGCGAAAGCAUCUGCCAAGGAUGUUUUCUUUGAUCAAGAACGAAGGUUAGGGGAUCAAAGACGAUCAGAUACCGUCGUAGUCCUGACUGUAAACUAUGCCGACUAGAGCUUAAUUGAAUAACAUAAAUUCAGUUAGGAUCUAGAGAGAAAUCAAAGUUUUUGGGUUCUGGGGGAAGUAUGGUCACAAGGCUGAAACUUGAAGGAAUUGACGGAAGGGCACCACCAGGCGUGGAGCUUGCGGCUUAAUUUGACUCAACGCGGGAAAACUUACCAGGUCAAAACGUGGUCAUGAUUGACAGGCUGAAAGUCCUUUCUUGAUUCCAUGGUUGGUGGUGCAUGGCCGUUCUUAGUUGGUGGACUGAUUUGUCAGGUUAAUUCCGGUAACGAACGAGACCUUGGCCUGCUAACUAGAUGAUUUACUUUUGUAUUUCUUCUUCUUAGAGGGACAAUGGUGGCUACAUCACUGAAGCUCGAGGUAAUAACAGGUCUGUUAUGCCCUUAGAUGUCCUGGGCCGCACGCGUGCUACACUGACGCAUUCAGAAAGUUAUCAAUCCGGAAGGAAAGAUUAAUCAUCAAUGUGCGUCAUGUAGGGACAGUUCCUUGUAAUUGUGGAGCUCGAACGAGGAAUGCCUAGUAAGUGCAAGUCAACAUCUUGUACUGAUUACGUCCCUGCCCCUUGUACACACCGCCC